CAAUAAGCGGAGGAAAAGAAACCAACAGGGAUUGCCCUAGUAACGGCGAGUGAAGCGGCAACAGCUCAGAUUUGGAAUCUGGCCCCCUCGGGGCCCGAGUUGUAAUCUGGAGAGGGAGCCUCUGGCGCGGCGCCCGGCGAGUCCCCUGGAACGGGGCGCCGGAGAGGGUGAGAGCCCCGUACGGCGGGCCGCCGUGCCUCUGCGAGGCCCCUUCGACGAGUCGAGUAGUUUGGGAAUGCUGCUCCAAGCGGGAGGUAAAUUUCUUCUAAAGCUAAAUACCGGCCAGAGACCGAUAGCGCACAAGUAGAGUGAUCGAAAGAUGAAAAGCACUUUGAAAAGAGGGUCAAACAGUACGUGAAAUUGUUGAAAGGGAAGCGCCCGUGGCCAGACUCGCGCCCUGCGGACCACCCGGCGGACCCCGCCGGGGCGCUCCGCGGGGCGCGGGCCAGCAUCGGCCGCUGCGGGGGGACAAGGACGGCGGGAACGUGGCCCCUCCGGGGGUGUUACAGCCCGCCGCGCCAUGCCCCCGCGGCGGCCGAGG
rnacentral:rRNA from 1 species